AGAAACUACCCCUUGCUGUCCGCAAGAAACAACUCGGGAUCCCGUCCGCUCUCCGUUCGAUAAACUGAUAAGUGCUGAAUUAGUAGUUGGGUCGGUGACGACCAGCGAAUCCUCGGUGUUGUAUGUU
rnacentral:rRNA from 1 species